rnacentral:rRNA from 1 species
AUUGAACGCUGGCGGCAGGCCUAACACAUGCAAGUCGAACGAGUGGCGGACGGGUGAGUAAUGUCUGGGAAACUGCCCGAUGGAGGGGGAUAACUACUGGAAACGGUAGCUAAUACCGCAUACCAUCGGAUGUGCCCAGAUGGGAUUAGCUUGUAGGUGAGGUAACGGCUCACCUAGGCGAAGAUCCCUAGCUGGUCUGAGAGGAUGACCAGCAAGACUUGACUGUAGACACUGUCCAGACUCCUACGGGAGGCAGCAGUGGGGAAGAGUGCACAAUUGGCGCAAGCCUGAUGCAGCCAUGACGCGUGUAUGAAGAAGGCCUUCGGGUUGUAAAGUACUUUCAGCGGUGAGGCGUUACCCGCAGAAGAAGCACCGGCGAACUCCGUGCCAGCAGCCGCGGUAAUUC